rnacentral:tRNA from 1 species
UGUAAUAAAAUGUUUGAUGCAUAUAGUUUUUUGAAAUCUAAAGUUUAAGUUUAAUUCUUAAUAUUACAU